AAACGACUCUCGGCAACGGAUAUCUCGGCUCUCGCAUCGAUGAAGAACGUAGCGAAAUGCGAUACUUGGUGUGAAUUGCAGAAUCCCGUGAACCAUCGAGUCUUUGAACGCAAGUUGCGCCUGACGCCAUCCGGCUGAGGGCACGUCUGCCUGGGUGUCACGC
rnacentral:rRNA from 2 species